CUGAACUUGUUGAGUUUCAACGUCUCGAAAAUGAUCCUCAGAAGCUAGUUUGCGAUGGAAAUGGCCAAGUUGGGGAGGAUUUUGUGGAGACAGAGUAUUACAAAGAUCUCAACUGCAUUGACAAGAAGCACCACACGACAGGAACAGGGUUCGGUUCAUUAAAAUGGAGAAUAUCAAUGGAAAAUCCUUCAGCUUAGCACCAGAUCCGGUAUCCUGUUGCCAUGCUUCUUGCAGAGGAAACCCAGCAACUAAUGAAUGGAUUCCAGCAGCUGCCAAUACUGUCACUUUGGCUUCAGACAAGCCCAAAAGGAG
rnacentral:misc_RNA from 1 species